UGUAUGUAAGUGGUGGUGCAUGGUCGUUAACUAAGUAGCGACAGUACUUGUAAAAGCAAGUGCUAGUGGGCACAGGUCCGUUUUGGCGAGGACCUGCCGCCUGCGACACUGUCAAAUUGCGGGGAAAUCCAGAGUGGAGCACGGUACCGCCUCAGCACCGAAAGGUCAGGCUGUUGGCACCUCAGGGAAACUUGAGGGUAUGGUAAGAACCCGUGCUCUUGGACUAUCCGCAGCCAAGCCCUAACGUUGCCCCGGAUUAAGUUCUGGAGCAGCCACGGGUGCAGUUCAACGACUAGACGGCAGUGGGCGGUCGAAGACUCCCCCCCCCUCGGGAGGAGGCUUUAUACGAUUCGCUUAAGGUAUAGUCUUGCCCCACCUGAAGGUGGCCCUGGGAUAAAGGGGAUAGCCAUCCCCCCGAGCCCAGGGAGAACAACGUGGGUUCUCCACGGUGUUUGGGAAACACAGUCUUAGUUCGUGGAUUGAUUUGUCUGGUCUAUUCCGAUAACGAGCGAGACCCCGGCGUUCCUAAUAGGGGCGGCAGCCAAGCCGGUCGCAAGGCCGGUUAGCUCGCCGUCUUAUAUUCAUGCUUCUUAGACGUAUCAGAGCCGAAAAGGUUCUUGAAAUGGGUUAAUAACAGGUUUGCAUGAGACUGGCCUGCAAAAGUCAGCAAGCUAAGCUGGCUAGUGGCGAAAGUACGCUAGUACCGUACUGGAUCUGCGACACCUUCAAAUUGCGGGAACACCCUCAGAGACCAACCUACUAACUGCGCGCCGAAAGGCGGAAAAAUCAAGAGCUGAGACCCCCUAACAGGGCGAGCCGCUUGCGCAGGGCCAAGAUAGCGACCUUGGGAGUAAAAACGGUUGGUAUUGGGCAAUCCGCAGCCAAGUCCUGUCGUG
rnacentral:rRNA from 1 species